rnacentral:rRNA from 1 species
AUUGAACGCUGGCGGCAGGCUUAACACAUGCAAGUCGAACGAGUGGCGGACGGGUGAGUAAUGUCUGGGAAACCGCCUGAUGGAGGGGGAUAACUACUGGAAACGGUAGCUAAUACCGCAUACCAUCAGAUGUGCCCAUAGGGGAUGAGCUAGUUGGUGGGGUAACGGCUCACCAAGGCGACUAGCCCUAGCUGGUCUGAGAGGAUGACCAGCACAACUGGAACGGAACAACGGUCCAGACUCCUACGUGAGGCAGCAGUGGGGAAUAUUGCAAAAGGGGCGAAAGCCUGAUGCAGCCAUGCCGCGUGUAUGAAGAAGGCCUUCGGGUUGUAAAGUACUUUCAGCGGGGAGGCGUUACCCGCAGAAGAAGCACCGGCUAACUCCGUGCCAGCAGCCGCGGUAAUAC